UAUGAAGGGGGCUAGCGUUGCUCGGAAUCACUGGGCGUAAAGCGCACGUAGGCGGCUUUUUAAGUCAGGGGUGAAAUCCUGGAGCUCAACUCCAGAACUGCCUUUGAUACUGAGAAGCUUGAGUCCGGGAGAGGUGAGUGGAACUGCGAGUGUAGAGGUGAAAUUCGUAGAUAUUCGCAAGAACACCAGUGGCGAAGGCGGCUCACUGGCCCGGUACUGACGCUGAGGUGCGAAAGCGUGGGGAGCAAACAGGG
rnacentral:rRNA from 1 species